rnacentral:lncRNA from 1 species
CACAACUUUCAACACAGGAAAGAUGAGUGCUUCAUUCAAUGAAAGUGCUUGAGGUUCACAAAAGAUUCCUUACUUUUUUAGUGGUGAGGCCAAGGAGAACUGAAAGACCUUGUAAAAUAUUUUUACACACAUGUGCAAAGACACCUUGGGACAGCUAAGUCUACUUAGGGCACUCUUGUGGGUUGGCAGAGAAUGGUUUAGUGGAGGUUUAAAUGUACUUUUUUAUAUCCUAGCUGACAGUCUCAAUCACUACGCUGUUGUCUACACUGAAUUUAUUUGGUCAACCUCUUGUGUGUCUCUCCUGUUUCACAUCAGCAUGGUCCUUAGUUUUCCUGUUUUCCAAGCCCUCUAAUAUCUGACACAUGGCUAAAGGAUUUCCAUGUUCAAUUUUUUUUUCCACAAAGAGAAAAAGAUUUCUACUAAGCUUCCAAGCAGAGUAGUUUUAACCUGUUUCAGACUACUUCUAGCUUCUAAACUUUUCACAAAAUUCCUUUGAAAAUCGAGGAGUGAUUUCCUGGCACAAGUUCAUUUUACAUUAAGAAGUUCCCAUUAAGAUUUCUGCUUUCACAGAACUCAUAUUUUUGCCAUUAGAAGGUAUGGUAAAAAGAAGAUUUAUGAUUGCUUUUGUUUUUCUGCAGACACAGAAGAAAAAAAAAAAAAGGUAGGAGUUGUACUGAAGAACUUUGACAUAGCGGUUCUAAGUUUUUAAACUGCUAGUGAAAUGCCUCUUCUCAAUCAAAUAGAUCUGGCUAUACUGACUGUACUUGGAGCUGGUUUGCCUCUGAAAGGGUGUGAAGCACUCAAGCAAGCUGGAGGGGGAGGACAGAAAAAUGGAUGGCCAACAGCUCUAUUGUUGGACAAGCACUGCCCAGCUCAUUUUCAUCCCCAUGGCUCUAAAGGAUUCCAGAGCCCAUGUGGGAGGCAAACAGCACAGCCAGUGGGCUGCCUCUUAUUGAGUCUUCUUUGCAGAAAGUUGUCACAACUGCAGAUGAUUUAUUAUUCUGUCACUGUAUGGCCACUUUUCCAUACAAAAUAUAACCCCGCUUAUGCAUGUGUCUUCUGCCAUAUGAGUAUACUAAAAUGAAUAAAAUAUUCUAUCACCAUUUACUCUAUGAUCGAGAUUAUCUGUAUGUUAUCUCUCUACCUCUUUGGUAAAGAUAGAAAAAAACAAACAAAAAAAACAAAACAAAAAAAAAAAAAAAACAAAACAAAACCAACUUGAACAUUCUUGUUUCUUAAAAACAAACAAAUAAAAAACCCUGUUUAUCCA